rnacentral:rRNA from 1 species
UACGUAGGGUGCAAGCGUUGUCCGGAAUUACUGGGCGUAAAGAGCUCGUAGGUGGUUUGUCGCGUUGUCCGUGAAAACUCACAACUCAAUUGUGGGCGUGCGGGCGAUACGGGCAGACUGGAGUACUGCAGGGGAGACUGGAAUUCCUGGUGUAGCGGUGGAAUGCGCAGAUAUCAGGAGGAACACCGGUGGCGAAGGCGGGUCUCUGGGCAGUAACUGACGCUGAGGCGCGACAGCGUGGGGAGCAAACAGG